GGUUAAGCGACUAAGCGUACACGGUGGAUGCCCUGGCAGUCAGAGGCGAUGAAGGACGUGCUAAUCUGCGAUAAGCGCCGGUAAGGUGAUAUGAACCGUUAUAACCGGCGAUUUCCGAAUGGGGAAACCCAGUGUGACUCGUCACACUAUCAUUAACUGAAUCCAUAGGUUAAUGAGGCGAACCGGGGGAACUGAAACAUCUAAGUACCCCGAGGAAAAGAAAUCAACCGAGAUUCCCCCAGUAGCGGCGAGCGAACGGGGAGGAGCCCAGAGCCUGAAUCAGCAUGUGUGUUAGUGGAAGCGUCUGGAAAGGCGCGCGAUACAGGGUGACAGCCCCGUACACAAAAGCGCAUGUGCUGUGAGCUCGAUGAGUAGGGCGGGACACGUGGUAUCCUGUCUGAAUAUGGGGGGACCAUCCUCCAAGGCUAAAUACUCCUGACUGACCGAUAGUGAACCAGUACCGUGAGGGAAAGGCGAAAAGAACCCCGGCGAGGGGAGUGAAAAAGAACCUGAAACCGUGUACGUACAAGCAGUGGGAGCACAGGUUUACCUGUGUGACUGCGUACCUUUUGUAUAAUGGGUCAGCGACUUAUAUUCUGUAGCAAGGUUAACCGAAUAGGGGAGCCGGAGGGAAACCGAGUCUUAAUUGGGCGUUAAGUUGCAGGGUAUAGACCCGAAACCCGGUGAUCUAGCCAUGGGCAGGUUGAAGGUUGGGUAACACUAACUGGAGGACCGAACCGACUAAUGUUGAAAAAUUAGCGGAUGACCUGUGGCUGGGGGUGAAAGGCCAAUCAAACCGGGAGAUAGCUGGUUCUCCCCGAAAGCUAUUUAGGUAGCGCCUCGUGAAUUCAUCUCCGGGGGUAGAGCACUGUUUCGGCUAGGGGGCCAUCCCGGCUUACCAACCCGAUGCAAACUGCGAAUACCGGAGAAUGUUAUCACGGGAGACACACGGCGGGUGCUAACGUCCGUCGUGAAGAGGGAAACAACCCAGACCGCCAGCUAAGGUCCCAAAGUCAUGGUUAAGUGGGAAACGAUGUGGGAAGGCCCAGACAGCCAGGAUGUUGGCUUAGAAGCAGCCAUCAUUUAAAGAAAGCGUAAUAGCUCACUGGUCGAGUCGGCCUGCGCGGAAGAUGUAACGGGGCUAAACCAUGCACCGAAGCUGCGGCAGCGACACUGUGUGUUGUUGGGUAGGGGAGCGUUCUGUAAGCCUGCGAAGGUGGCCUGUGAGGGUUGCUGGAGGUAUCAGAAGUGCGAAUGCUGACAUAAGUAACGAUAAAGCGGGUGAAAAGCCCGCUCGCCGGAAGACCAAGGGUUCCUGUCCAACGUUAAUCGGGGCAGGGUGAGUCGACCCCUAAGGCGAGGCCGAAAGGCGUAGUCGAUGGGAAACGGGUUAAUAUUCCCGUACUUGGUGUUACUGCGAAGGGGGGACGGAGAAGGCUAUGUUGGCCGGGCGACGGUUGUCCCGGUUUAAGCGUGUAGGUGUGUGUUCCAGGUAAAUCCGGUUCACUUUAACACUGAGGCGUGACGACGAGGCACUACGGUGCUGAAGCAACAAAUGCCCUGCUUCCAGGAAAAGCCUCUAAGCAUCAGGUAACAUCAAAUCGUACCCCAAACCGACACAGGUGGUCAGGUAGAGAAUACCAAGGCGCUUGAGAGAACUCGGGUGAAGGAACUAGGCAAAAUGGUGCCGUAACUUCGGGAGAAGGCACGCUGACAUGUAGGUGAAGUGAUUUACUCAUGGAGCUGAAGUCAGUCGAAGAUACCAGCUGGCUGCAACUGUUUAUUAAAAACACAGCACUGUGCAAACACGAAAGUGGACGUAUACGGUGUGACGCCUGCCCGGUGCCGGAAGGUUAAUUGAUGGGGUCAGCGCAAGCGAAGCUCCUGAUCGAAGCCCCGGUAAACGGCGGCCGUAACUAUAACGGUCCUAAGGUAGCGAAAUUCCUUGUCGGGUAAGUUCCGACCUGCACGAAUGGCGUAAUGAUGGCCAGGCUGUCUCCACCCGAGACUCAGUGAAAUUGAACUCGCUGUGAAGAUGCAGUGUACCCGCGGCAAGACGGAAAGACCCCGUGAACCUUUACUAUAGCUUGACACUGAACAUUGAGCCUUGAUGUGUAGGAUAGGUGGGAGGCUUUGAAGUGUGGACGCCAGUCUGCAUGGAGCCGACCUUGAAAUACCACCCUUUAAUGUUUGAUGUUCUAACGUGGACCCGUAAUCCGGGUUGCGGACAGUGUCUGGUGGGUAGUUUGACUGGGGCGGUCUCCUCCUAAAGAGUAACGGAGGAGCACGAAGGUUGGCUAAUCCUGGUCGGACAUCAGGAGGUUAGUGCAAUGGCAUAAGCCAGCUUGACUGCGAGCGUGACGGCGCGAGCAGGUGCGAAAGCAGGUCAUAGUGAUCCGGUGGUUCUGAAUGGAAGGGCCAUCGCUCAACGGAUAAAAGGUACUCCGGGGAUAACAGGCUGAUACCGCCCAAGAGUUCAUAUCGACGGCGGUGUUUGGCACCUCGAUGUCGGCUCAUCACAUCCUGGGGCUGAAGUAGGUCCCAAGGGUAUGGCUGUUCGCCAUUUAAAGUGGUACGCGAGCUGGGUUUAGAACGUCGUGAGACAGUUCGGUCCCUAUCUGCCGUGGGCGCUGGAGAACUGAGGGGGGCUGCUCCUAGUACGAGAGGACCGGAGUGGACGCAUCACUGGUGUUCGGGUUGUCAUGCCAAUGGCACUGCCCGGUAGCUAAAUGCGGAAGAGAUAAGUGCUGAAAGCAUCUAAGCACGAAACUUGCCCCGAGAUGAGUUCUCCCUGAGACUUAAAGUCUCCUGAAGGAACGUUGAAGACGACGACGUUGAUAGGCCGGGUGUGUAAGCGCAGCGAUGCGUUGAGCUAACCGGUACUAAUGAACCGUGAGGCUUAACCUU
rnacentral:rRNA from 2 species